GAUGAACGCUGGCGGCGUGCCUAAUACAUGCAAGUCGAGCGAACGGACGAGAAGCUUGCUUCUCUGAUGUUAGCGGCGGACGGGUGAGUAACACGUGGAUAACCUACCUAUAAGACUGGGAUAACUUCGGGAAACCGGAGCUAAUACCGGAUAAUAUUUUGAACCGCAUGGUUCAAAAGUGAAAGACGGUCUUGCUGUCACUUAUAGAUGGAUCCGCGCUGCAUUAGCUAGUUGGUAAGGUAACGGCUUACCAAGGCAACGAUGCAUAGCCGACCUGAGAGGGUGAUCGGCCACACUGGAACUGAGACACGGUCCAGACUCCUACGGGAGGCAGCAGCAGGGAAUCUUCCGCAAUGGGCGAAAGCCUGACGGAGCAACGCCGCGUGAGUGAUGAAGGUCUUCGGAUCGUAAAACUCUGUUAUUAGGGAAGAACAUAUGUGUAAGUAACUGUGCACAUCUUGACGGUACCUAAUCAGAAAGCCACGGCUAACUACGUGCCAGCAGCCGCGGUAAUACGUAGGUGGCAAGCGUUAUCCGGAAUUAUUGGGCGUAAAGCGCGCGUAGGCGGUUUUUUAAGUCUGAUGUGAAAGCCCACGGCUCAACCGUGGAGGGUCAUUGGAAACUGGAAAACUUGAGUGCAGAAGAGGAAAGUGGAAUUCCAUGUGUAGCGGUGAAAUGCGCAGAGAUAUGGAGGAACACCAGUGGCGAAGGCGACUUUCUGGUCUGUAACUGACGCUGAUGUGCGAAAGCGUGGGGAUCAAACAGGAUUAGAUACCCUGGUAGUCCACGCCGUAAACGAUGAGUGCUAAGUGUUAGGGGGUUUCCGCCCCUUAGUGCUGCAGCUAACGCAUUAAGCACUCCACCUGGGGAGUACGACCGCAAGGUUGAAACUCAAAGGAAUUGACGGGGACCCGCACAAGCGGUGGAGCAUGUGGUUUAAUUCGAAGCAACGCGAAGAACCUUACCAAAUCUUGACAUCCUUUGACAACUCUAGAGAUAGAGCUUUCCCCUUCGGGGGACAAAGUGACAGGUGGUGCAUGGUUGUCGUCAGCUCGUGUCGUGAGAUGUUGGGUUAAGUCCCGCAACGAGCGCAACCCUUAAGCUUAGUUGCCAUCAUUAAGUUGGGCACUCUAAGUUGACUGCCGGUGACAAACCGGAGGAAGGUGGGGAUGACGUCAAAUCAUCAUGCCCCUUAUGAUUUGGGCUACACACGUGCUACAAUGGACAAUACAAAGGGCAGCGAAACCGUGAGGUCAAGCAAAUCCCAUAAAGUUGUUCUCAGUUCGGAUUGUAGUCUGCAACUCGACUACAUGAAGCUGGAAUCGCUAGUAAUCGUAGAUCAGCAUGCUACGGUGAAUACGUUCCCGGGUCU
rnacentral:rRNA from 1 species